rnacentral:rRNA from 1 species
GAUGAACGCUGGCGGCGUGCUUAACACAUGCAAGUCGAACGAAGCACUUUAACCUGAUUCUUCGGAUGAAGGUUUUUGUGACUGAGUGGCGGACGGGUGAGUAACGCGUGGGUAACCUGCCUCAUACAGGGGGAUAACAGUUAGAAAUGACUGCUAAUACCGCAUAAGACCACAGAGCCGCAUGGCUCGGUGGGAAAAACUCCGGUGGUAUGAGAUGGACCCGCGUCUGAUUAGGUAGUUGGUGGGGUAACGGCCUACCAAGCCAACGAUCAGUAGCCGACCUGAGAGGGUGACCGGCCACAGUGGGACUGAGACACGGCCCAAACUCCUACGGGAGGCAGCAGUGGGGAAUAUUGCACAAUGGGGGAAACCCUGAUGCAGCGACGCCGCGUGAGCGAAGAAGUAUUUCGGUAUGUAAAGCUCUAUCAGCAGGGAAGAAAAUGACGGUACCUGACUAAGAAGCACCGGCUAAAUACGUG